rnacentral:rRNA from 1 species
GGUGAGGUAACGGCUCACCUAGGCGACGAUACAUAGCCGACCUGAGAGGGUGAUCGGCCACACUGGGACUGAGACACGGCCCAGACUCCUACGGGAGGCAGCAGUAGGGAAUCUUCGGCAAUGGGGGCAACCCUGACCGAGCAACGCCGCGUGAGUGAAGAAGGUUUUCGGAUCGUAAAGCUCUGUUGUAAGUCAAGAACGAGUGUGAGAGUGGAAAGUUCACACUGUGACGGUAGCUUACCAGAAAGGGACGGCUAACUACGUGCCAGCAGCCGCGGUAAUACGUAGGUCCCGAGCGUUGUCCGGAUUUAUUGGGCGUAAAGCGAGCGCAGGCGGUUUGAUAAGUCUGAAGUUAAAGGCUGUGGCUCAACCAUAGUUCGCUUUGGAAACUGUCAAACUUGAGUGCAGAAGGGGAGAGUGGAAUUCCAUGUGUAGCGGUGAAAUGCGUAGAUAUAUGGAGGAACACCGGUGGCGAAAGCGGCUCUCUGGUCUGUAACUGACGCUGAGGCUCGAAAGCGUGGGGAGCGAACAGGAUUAGAUACCCUGGUAGUCCACGCCGUAAACGAUGAGUGCUAGGUGUUGGAUCCUUUCCGGGAUUCAGUGCCGCAGCUAACGCAUUAAGCACUCCGCCUGGGGAGUACGACCGCAAGGUUGAAACUCAAAGGAAUUGACGGGGGCCCGCACAAGCGGUGGAGCAUGUGGUUUAACUCGAAGCAACGCGAAGAACCUUACCAGGUCUUGACAUCCCGAUGCUAUUUCUAGAGAUAGAAAGUUACUUCGGUACAUCGGUGACAGGUGGUGCAUGGUUGUCGUCAGCUCGUGUCGUGAGAUGUUGGGUUAAGUCCCGCAACGAGCGCAACCCCUAUUGUUAGUUGCCAUCAUUCAGUUGGGCACUCUAGCGAGACUGCCGGUAAUAAACCGGAGGAAGGUGGGGAUGACGUCAAAUCAUCAUGCCCCUUAUGACCUGGGCUACACACGUGCUACAAUGGUUGGUACAACGAGUCGCGAGUCGGUGACGGCAAGCUAAUCUCUUAAAGCCAAUCUCAGUUCGGAUUGUAGGCUGCAACUCGCCUACAUGAAGUCGGAAUCGCUAGUAAUCGCGGAUCAGCACGCCGCGGUGAAUACGUUCCCGGGCCUUGUACACACCGCCCGUCACACCACGAGAGUUUGUAACACCCGAAGUCGGUGAGGUAACCUUUUGGAGCCAGCCGCCUAAGGUGGGAUAGAUGAUUGGGGUGAAGUCGUAACAAGGUA